GUUGGAUAGUGAGGUUAUUUCAUGGAGCCCAUAUUUAUAAGCCUGAUAGACAAGGUAUUUGCACCUCAAGGUUCCAUCAAGACAAAGGUUGAAUGUGUUGAGUUCCAAAUUAUAAUUAGAAAAACUACUGAUGAUUAAAAUUUAUACAUAUUCCUGGAAAUGAAGCAGAAGACGAAGAAAAAGGCCCUCAUGAAUUUUAUCAAAGAUCAUGGAAUUGUUAACAAAUGGUCAAUGGACAAAAGCAAAAGAGAAGCACCAACCUCUGGUUGUUUUCAACAUCCA
rnacentral:misc_RNA from 1 species